rnacentral:rRNA from 1 species
AGUGAACGCUGGCGGCGUGCCUAAUACAUGCAAGUCGAACGGAAUUUAAAAGAGCUUGCUCUUUUAAAUUUAGUGGCGCACGGGUGAGUAAUAUAUAGCUAAUCUGCCCCUUGCUGGAGGACAACAGUUAGAAAUGACUGCUAAUACUCCAUACUCCUUUUUACCAUAAGAUAAAUCGGGAAAGAAUUUCGGCAAGGGAUGAGACUAUAUCGUAUCAGCUAGUCGGUGGGGUAACGGCCUACCGAGGCUAUGACGCGUAACUGGUCUGAGAGGAUGAUCAGUCACAUUGGAACUGAGACACGGUCCAAACUCCUACGGGAGGCAGCAGUAGGGAAUAUUGCGCAAUGGGGGAAACCCUGACGCAGCAACGCCGCGUGGAGGAUGACACUUUUCGGAGCGUAAACUCCUUUUGUUAGGGAAGAAUAAUGACGGUACCUAACGAAUAAGC